CGAACGGGCAAAAGAAAGAAAGAGGCAGGGCCACCCUCGCCCCCGCCAAAACAAACAGACAAAAAACUGUCAUUCUCAUAUGACCACGGACUCUGCGCCCCGGCCGCAGGCGGAGGACAGGGAGGAGCGCACACGAGAAAGCUCCCACGCGCCCGCGCCUCGCCUCCGACGGGAAGGCGCCUCUUCCGACCGUCCUGGAUGCAAAUUAAAUACUUCCCUCCGCAGAAGACUUAUCUCGGGGUAGGGCCGCAGCCGGAUUUCCAAAUCGCGGGUUUGAUUUUCGCUGCGUCCUCUCCGCGACGCGCGCAGGGAGCGCGCCCGGCCACCUGCAGCCUCUGGCUGCGGCCAUCUUUCCGCCUGGGGCCACCUGGCCUGCGCCCUUUGUGCCCGGCCCGCUCCGUGACUGUUCUUCUUGCCGCUACUUACAGAACUCAGCCGCCUUAGCGUCUUAGAGAAGAGGACGGCAUGCAUGCGGACCCCGUCCACCACACCUGGAGAGCAGGGAGCCCUUAGUCCCUGGACACUUACCAGGGCCGCCACCCCUGGUCCACGCACGUGAUGACAUCUCACCAGGGGCAGCACACCGCCCGAGUCCGCGACACUGAUAACACCUCCUGCGGGCAGGAGGGCGCCACAGCCACCCCUGGUCCCCUAGAUUGUGUGAGGCUAGCAUUUCUGCCCGCCUCUUGGCGUGGACAGCACGCUGGACCGAGAUGGAACCACAGCUUUCUCUUCCCAAUCCCUGGCCUCACCGUUUUGUUUCAUACCUCACCGUUUGUUUCAAACCUCGUGGUGUUGAAAUGAUUAAAUGAGAUUAAGGGGUGUGUGGUAGUGUUGGGCAAACCACAAGAAAACGGUCUGGGUGGGGUCUGGCCCUAAAAUCUUCCUCCCCCACCUCCCAGGCUUCCUUGCCUUGCUGCUUCCUCUCAGCCUUUAAACAGGUUGGCCUCUCCAAGUCCUAAAAACAAAAUUAUCAAGCCAACCUCCUCCUGAAGUGCUCCCUCCAACUAGCUUCCAAGUGUUUCAUGCGGACCUCAAACAAUGGUCUUCCCUGGCUGCCUCUGCUUCCUCAUUUCUCAACACUUGGCAUUCUGGCUUCUCCUCCCCAACUCUAACCCUUCACCUUGCUCAGGCAAGAGCAACUCAUGACUUUCAUUUUGCCAAACCUUGCAGGCAUUCCUCAGGCCUUAUCUCUCUGGUUCUUUCUGCUACAUUUGACACCUUGGGAUGACUCUCACCUUCUGGAAUCUCUCUACUACCUUGGUUUCAGAAGAGUGAACCCUCUGGAUUAUCACAUGAAGGCUCCGCAGGUGCUUCCUCUGUCCUUCUCUAAAUGUUGCUGUUCCCCAAGGCUCAACCCAGGAUCCAUUCCUGUGUCUACACAAGGUUUGUUGUGUUUUUGUUUGUUUGUUUGUUUUUAAUUUGACAUCUCUUGACCUUACUACUUCCUGUGAGCAGCCCAGGGAUGGCCAGUCACUUGUGACCUACUUUCAGAGCUGGCAGUUCUGACUUCUAGAACAAACUCGGAACAAGCCCAUCUACAGCUGGUUGACUGAGUUUCCUUUGGGCUCCUGGCACCAGAAAGAAUUGCUCACUGGAAGGAUCAUAGGUGGCACUCAUGUCUCACUGCCCCACUCAGGGCAGAGAUGCCUCACUGUGAUAGGUAAAUUAAGGUGAUACUGAUUGCCAGCUCCAGUGUGGAAGUCCCGAGGUGAAGGAAUUUCUUUCAUAAACAUUUCAAAAGUGAGUCGAUCCAGAAUACACCUCCACCAUGAGAUUACCUGUAAUCUAAUUCAACCUAGAAGAUGGAGUCCAAACAGCUUGAGGUUCUGCAGAUUUCACAACAGCAGCCACAAAAUGAAAGUGAAGAAGGCUUUGGCCAGGCACGGUGGCUCACGCCUGUAAUCCCAGCACUUUGGGAGGCCGAGGCGGGUGGAUCAUCUGAAGUCGGGAGUGUGAGACUAGCCUGAUGCACGUGGAGAAACCCCAUCUCUACUAAAAAUACAAAAGUAGCCAGGUGUGGUGGCGCAUUCCUGUAAUCCCAGCUACUCAGGAGGCUGAACCAGGAGAAUCGCUUGAACCCAGGAGGCAGAGGUUGCAGUGAGCUGAGAUCGCGCCAUUGCAUUCCAGCCUGGGCAACAAGAACAAAACUCCAUCUGAAAAAAAAAAAAGAAAGUGAACAAGGCUUUAAGGUGGAGCACACUAGAAACAUCUUGCUUGCCUGUGUGGACUCCUGCCUGCUCUCUGUGCCAGGAUCCCGUGACAUGAAACAGAAUAAGUGCUUCAUAAACGGGAGUGACACUAGGCGUGGUGGCAUGCAUCUGGAGUCCUAGCUACGCGGGAGGCUGAGGCAGGAGGAUUGCCUGAGCCUAGGAGUUGGAGGCUCUAAUGCACUUGGAUAGCACCUAUGAAUAGCCAGUGCCCUCCAACCUGGGCAACAUAGUGAGCUCUUGUCACCACAACAUCAUGCACGCGGAUGAUCAACAGUCAGUUCCUGGUCAACAUAAGUAAACAAGCCUGUUUAAGAUAAAUUCCCCCACACUCCCUUGUACCUACUCCUUGCCCUCUGCCCCAGGGUUAUAGAACAGCUGCUUUCUGCUAUUCUCCCCCCAGGCUCUGCAGAACCUUCUGACCUUUCAGAAGGUUUGCAUCCUUUCCCUAUAGUUUUUCCACCGCUCUGACCAGUCCCCCACAAUAUAUAGCCUUGUAUGCAAAGCCAGGCCUGUCCAUGCAGGGUGACCAUCCAAGGUAGACAGUGGCAAAAUCUGGUGGAGGCAUCAGAGAUAGUGCCAUCAGUUUGCUGGAACAAGCAUAUCAAGGAGCCUGGCAGAUCUACACUUCACCAGACGGUGCCUGUAGCCAACAGGGCAGGCCCUUGCUCCAGGGAAACACUCAGAAAUCAAAACUCCUUGCUCUGCUGCCAGGGAACUCUCCAGGAGAUCCUCAGUGUCAUCAGAAGCUGAAAAAAACAGUGCUGAGAAACGUGGCCUGCCGUCUUUCCAGCUAAGGGAGAUGGCCCAUUCGACCCUGGGUUGUCCUCUGCAAACGCGCUGCUGCAGGUUGCAUGGCACCAUCUCCUGAUUGCAAUUUGCUUUCCUGAGGGAGUGAACUGACUGAAAUUGGAUGGUAAUAAGUUGCUAGGUUAUUUUCCACUUUUUAGUUUAUGAGGCUUAUUCAUUUUGCUUUAACAUUAACCACUGCCUUCCUUUUAAGGAGCUGGUGAGGCAGCGCAUGGCAACAGGUUCAGGGUGAGGAGUGGCACCACCUCCUUUCAGUGAGGAUUUGGGAAGGGUGAAAAGCACCCUAAUCUUCUCAGCCGCAUGUGAACAAACCACCUGUCAAGGUGGGUCCUUCCUAUAGGGAGGUUGAUGUCAGCCCUUCAGGGAGGUCUCAGUUUUCUUCCUCCACUUCCUAAUCCCUUCAUUAUAAUUCCUUCCACAACAGAAUAAGUUUCUUGAGCAAUGCAGCAAUAUCCAGCAAUUUUAGAUAGACAUUUACCUUUUGACCUAGAAAUCUCACUUCUACGAAUCCAUCCUAAAGACACACUUUCAGCUGGAUGUGGUCGCUCAUGCCUGCGAUCCUAACACUCUGGGAGGCUAAAGUGGAAGAAUCUCUUGGGCUCAGGAGCUCAAGACCAGCCUGGGCAACAUAGGAAGACCCUAUCUCUA
rnacentral:lncRNA from 10 species